UGGCCCUUGAUCUUAUCACCUAUGAUAUAAAUAUAUCCAAUUGUCAUUUGCAUGGAUUUGUCACAAGUGAGGAAAAGCAUGAAAUCUGCUAAUUACUUCUUUGUCAUCUUCUUUAUCUUCAUCUUCUUGGCAGAUGCGGAACAAGCAAUAGAACAAGCAAUAGUGGAGCCGUGUCAUCGGAGGUUUAAGAGCAAAACAUGGUCCGGGCCAUGCUUCUCUCAAUAUAAUUGUGAUAUGAAUUGCCAGACAAGGGACAAAGCAAGUUGGGGAGAGUGUCGGAUUCGUUGGUUCACAUGUUAUUGCUGCUUUAAUUCAACAAUCUAAAAUCAUGCUAAAUAUGUAAUACUUUUGCCACAAUUUGUAUUUGUUAGGAUUUAUGUCCUAAAAAUAAAUUUCUUUUGUAUGACAUUUUGGCUUAUUAAAUAAAGUUUGCAGCCCUUAACCCUUAA